rnacentral:rRNA from 1 species
UACAGAGGUCCCGAGCGUUGUUCGGAUUCAUUGGGCGUAAAGAGCGUGUAGGCGGUUCGGUAGGUCCGUUGUGAAAACUCGAGGCUCAACCUCGAGACGCCGAUGGAAACCAUCGAACUAGAGUCCGGAAGAGGAGAGUGGAAUUCCUGGUGUAGCGGUGAAAUGCGCAGAUAUCAGGAGGAACACCGGUGGCGAAAGCGACUUCCUGGGCCAAUACUGACGCUCAUGUGCGAAAGCGUGGGGAGCAAACAGG